UUAAAUUGAAGAGUUUGAUCAUGGCUCAGAUUGAACGCUGGCGGCAGGCCUAACACAUGCAAGUCGAACGGUAACAGGAAACAGCUUGCUGUUUCGCUGACGAGUGGCGGACGGGUGAGUAAUGUCUGGGAAACUGCCUGAUGGA
rnacentral:rRNA from 2 species